UACGAAGGGGACUAGCGUUGUUCGGAAUCACUGGGCGUAAAGCGCACGUAGGCGGAUGUGUCAGUCAGGGGUGAAAUCCCGGGGCUCAACCUCGGAACUGCCUUUGAUACAGCACGUCUCGAGUCCGGAAGAGGUGGGUGGAAUUCUUGGUGUAGCGGUGAAAUGCGUAGAUAUCAAGAGGAACACCUGAGGUGAAGACGGGUUGCUGGGCCGACACUGACGCUGAUGCGCGAAAGCCAGGGGAGCAAACGGG
rnacentral:rRNA from 1 species